CCCGCCGGAGGCUACCGCUAUUGGAGUUCGAUUAAGCCAUGCGAGUCGAGAGUCUUAGGGACUCGGCGUACCGCUCAGUAACACGUGGGUAACCUGCCCUAUGCUGGGGAAUAACCUCGGGAAACUGAGAAUAAUGCCCCAUAGUUCACUACGCCUGGAACGGUGAGUGGAUGAAAGCUCCGGCGGCAUAGGAUGGGCCUGCGGCGUAUCAGGUCGUAGGGGGUGUAACGUACCCUCUAGCCAUCGACGCGUACGGGUGUUGGGAGACAUAGCCCGGAGAUGGAUUCUGAGACACGAAUCCAGACCCUACGGGGUGCAGCAGGCGCGAAAACUUGGCAAUGCGAGAAAUCGUGACCAGGGAACUCCAAGUGGCUGGGGUAAGACCCAGUCUUUUCUUGACUCUUCAAAGGUCUUGGAAUAAGAGGUGGGUAAGGACGGUGCCAGCCGCCGCGGUAAUACCGGCGCCUCAAGUGGUAGUCGAUUUUAUUGGGCCUAAAACGUCCGUAGCCUGUUUGGUACAUUCGUGGGUAAAUCAACCAGCUCAACUGGUUGAAUUCUGCGAGCACGGCCAGACUUGGGACCGGGAGAGGUGUGGGGUACGCUCAGGGUAGGGGUAAAAUCCUGUCAUCCUGAGCGGACCACCUGUUGCGAAGGCGCCACACUAGAACGGAUCCGACGGUCAGGGACGAAGCCUAGGGGCACGAACCGGAUUAGAUACCCGGGUAGUCCUAGGUGUAAACGCUGUGGACUUGGUGUUGGGGAUUCUCAGAGGAUUCUCAGUGCCGAAGCGAAAGUGAUAAGUCCACUGCCUG
rnacentral:rRNA from 1 species